GGUCCUCGCUUUUGUGUGCUACCUCUGAUGGGAUGCUGUGGAACUUAUCUGAGUGUACCCCAGAAGGAGAGUGGGUCGUAGAUAACAUCUGGCAGAAAAAAUCAAGAAACCCUAAAAGUCGAACUCCGGGGACAGAUUCGUCCCCAGGCUUAUUCUGCAUGGAUAGCUGGGUAGAACCCACACAUUUAAAGGCACGGCAGUGUAAAAAGGUGAGCUUGGAGGGAGGCAGUUCCAAAUCUGACGCAGCAGCCCUUGCUGCUUCUGUCAUUGAAAGGCCUCCCUGAGAACUCAUGCUGUUCUCCUCCUCUCCGAGAUUCACUUGGGCUCUGUCACGGCCCUCCAUGUGCUGCCCGGAUUGCUGGUGACUGCUUCAGAGGACAGAGAUGUUAAGCUGUGGGAGAGACCCAGUAUGCAGCUGGUAAGUGUGGGUCUGUGUGUGUGUACGUGUGUGCACAAGCUAAGAAGGGACUAGUGCAAGAAAACGAAUGUAGGAUAAGGUGUGAAAAAGAGAUGAAAGUUGUUUUCUUCACUCUCUCUUGGGGUGGCCUAAGGUAUUUAUUUGAGAGAAAGGUAAUAAGGAGACCGCAGGCUGAUAGCCUCACCUCCCCCAUUUCUGUUCCUGCCUCAGCUCGGCUUGUUCCGAUGUGAAGGGCCGGUGAGCUGUCUGGAACCUUGGAUGGAGCCCAGCUCUCCCCUGCAGCUUGCUGUGGGAGAUGCACAAGGAAACUUGUAUUUUCUAUCUUGGGAAUGAAGAUGAAGAAUCAGGACAAAGAUGGUGUCACCGGAUGAUGGUCACCUGAAGACACCAGUGUCUAUAUUCUUAAUAAGGUUAUAAAAUAAAGUGUUGGAAGAUC
rnacentral:lncRNA from 1 species